rnacentral:rRNA from 1 species
UACGUAGGGUGCAAGCGUUGUCCGGAAUUAUUGGGCGUAAAGAGCUCGUAGGCGGUCUGUCGCGUCUGCUGUGAAAACUCAGGGCUUAACCCUGAGCUUGCAGUGGGUACGGGCAGACUAGAGUGCGGUAGGGGAGACUGGAAUUCCUGGUGUAGCGGUGAAAUGCGCAGAUAUCAGGAGGAACACCGGUGGCGAAGGCGGGGUCUCUGGGCCGUAACUGAACG